rnacentral:rRNA from 1 species
CGGCGUGCCUAAUACAUGCAAGUCGAGCGAACAGACGAGGAGCUUGCUUCUCUGACGUUAGCGGCGGACGGGUGAGUAACACGUGGAUAACCUACCUAUAAGACUGGGAUAACUUCGGGAAACCGGAGCUAAUACCGGAUAAUAUAUUGAACCGCAUGGUUCAAUAGUGAAAGACGGUUUUGCUGUCACUUAUAGAUGGAUCCGCGCCGCAUUAGCUAGUUGGUAAGGUAACGGCUUACCAAGGCAACGAUGCGUAGCCGACCUGAGAGGGUGAUCGGCCACACUGGAACUGAGACACGGUCCAGACUCCUACGGGAGGCAGCAGUAGGGAAUCUUCCGCAAUGGGCGAAAGCCUGACGGAGCAACGCCGCGUGAGUGAUGAAGGUCUUCGGAUCGUAAAACUCUGUUAUUAGGGAAGAACAAAUGUGUAAGUAACUAUGCACGUCUUGACGGUACCUAAUCAGAAAGCCACGGCUAACUACGUGCCAGCAGCCGCGGUAAUACGUAGGUGGCAAGCGUUAUCCGGAAUUAUUGGGCGUAAAGCGCGCGUAGGCGGUUUUUUAAGUCUGAUGUAAAGCCCACGGCUCAACCGUGGAGGGUCAUUGGAAACUGGAAAACUUGAGUGCAGAAGAGGAAAGUGGAAUUCCAUGUGUAGCGGUGAAAUGCGCAGAGAUAUGGAGGAACACCAGUGGCGAAGGCGACUUUCUGGUCUGU